AGAGAUCCUUUUGAAGGGCAACAGCUAAAGAACUGGCAGCUGCGAUUUCACAUUGUUAGGUUACCAAGAAGUACGGUAUGGUCUACUUUGUAGUGACCCUCUCCUGGAAUCCCCGAUCCUGGCAUGACAAUCUUUCAGCCUUUGCCCCUGGUUAGCCAUCUUUUCCAUUACCAGAGCAACUAGAGGAGAGAUCCUUCCCCUCCCCGGGAGUUUUCUGGAAGGGUGCAGAGCCUCCUCCUCUUCCUUGCAUGGGGGUAUCGCAGCAGCCAGCUCCAGAGUUUUCUGUUCCUGCAACAGGUGGCAGCAUCUGCCUGCCUUGAAAUCAUGGCUGAUUGCAAGAAGCCAGCAACAUGGUUAGCACCCAAUGAAAUGCACCAGAAAACCUGAAGCUUGGAAACUAGACUGGGAAACCGAAGAAAUAUGCAGGAAGAAAGCAGUGGUGAACUACAGUCCUGCUCCGAGAGAACAACAAUGUAAUUCUCACUUGCAGUGGAAUCUCUUGAUAAGAGAUCCAAGAUGGCAUAAAGAUGCUUGAGGCGAACAUCAGUUUAUGUUAUUUAUAUGCUGUGCUGGCAAAAGCUGUUAAAAGACCAACAUUGUCCAUACUGUUAGCAAUGAAUACCAGGGGCGGGGGCGGGGGGGCAGGGGGAGAGGCUCAGCAAACAUUAUGUGAAAGCCUCAAAGGAGCACAGCAGGAUUGGCCUCCAGGUUCAGUAUUUGCAGACCCCUCUGUGAUAACCACUCUAUGAGCCCCUUGUGAGACGGACUGUCAGAGGAAUGCUGACAAAAUAGACUCUGACUUCUGGUCCCGUCUUGAACAUGAAAGCAUCAGUGAUUGCCUCCUACCAGUUCGGCCAAACUGGUAGUGGUUUGGUGGCCUGGCUCCCUGGAACCGGCAGCGACCCAGGCCUGUCAUGCUCCCCAACCGAUUUCCCGGUCACCUGCCCCACCCCCGCAUCCCACCCAGUCACUCCUCACCUCCCAGGCGGCUUGCCUGCCUAAGCUGCCACCUGUAGUAAAUUUUUUUGAAACCUACCACUGCUCUGCAUGCAGUUCCUUUUUGGAAAGUUCUAUAUGGGAAUCUGGAGGAGGGGAAAAGGGGGGGAACAACAACAUAGAUGUGAGGACACAAUUAUGCAAAUGCUAUGACUUACACAUACUUGCAUAAGACGCCCUGAUCAUGUAAAUCAUCCCUUUUGCCAUCAUCACAAUCAGCUGAGAUGUUGCAACUUCUCAUCAACUGUGCCUUCCUGCCAUCUUCUCUUUGCAGUGGGCCCAUCCCUUCUUUUGUCUUCCUUAAUAAUCUUCCAAACAAGGAUCUUUCAGCACGAUUCAGUGGGAAAGUUGAAUGUGACAACAUCCGUAAUGAACCCAAAGAUCCUGGAACUUGUGUUUGAUAGGCAAUAUAUGAGUGAAUGAUUUCAAAAUGCAUUUAAAGAUUUUUAACAGAAAUAAAA